rnacentral:rRNA from 1 species
UACGGAGGGUGCAAGCGUUAUCCGGAUUCACUGGGUUUAAAGGGUGCGUAGGUGGAUUGGUAAGUCAGUGGUGAAAUCUCCGGGCUUAACCCGGAAACUGCCAUUGAUACUAUCAGUCUUGAAUACCGUGGAGGUCAGUAGAAUAUGUCAUGUAGCGGUGAAAUGCUGAGAUAUGACAUAGAAUACCAAUUGCGAAGGCAGCUGGCUACACGAAUAUUGACACUCAGGCACGAAAGCGUGGGGAUCAAACAGG